UUUCCAGUGGCAAUUGGACUGCGAUUGAAAACAUCAACAUACUGCGGUAACAUAAUACUUAUUCAUAACAUUUUUAUCACAUUUCUUCCAUCAAAACUCACAUAACUAUCCCAAUACAGGUCUAACGCUUGCCACAAGAAACUCAUCAAGUUUCAUCUUUGACCCACCACCACUACCAGAAGUAACUGCACUACGAUCAUGGUGCGUAGCCAAUGCAGCAAAGAUCAGAGAACUACCAAUAGCACCAGUACCACAACUUCCCAUGCCAAAAGCAACUGAAGAUUCAGAAGAUGAUAUCACCAAAAUUGCAAACCUACCCAUCUCAGUUGAAAAGACACAAUACCUAAAUGUCCAUGGCAUAGCAAAGGUCACUGAUUUUGCCCAAAGCUUCUACUACCUGGCUUGCUCAAUCUGCAAGAGAGCAACAAAUGCAUAUGGAAAUGGAGACUUCUGGUGCAACUACUGUGCCAAAAAAGUACCUGCCUUAACAAAGUAAAAAACCUUCUCCCCUACCUUCAUACAAUUUUUAAUUCAAAACACAAACCACACUAUCCCUACACAACUAACACACACUACUAAAUAAAAUCUUCCUAAUUUGCAUGAUCAAGUUCAAUAUCCAAAUCACAGAUCCAACUGGAAGCAUCGAGGCAGCAGUGUUUUCAGAAGUUGCAGCAGAAGCCUACGACAUUACACCAGCAGAUGCAACAGAUGACGCAGCCAAAUAAAGUUCAACGUGCACUCCAUGUCAACCGAAGACCUCGCAGAACCGACAAACCAUUCAGAAGAACUUCUUGCCUUGCCUCCAAACACUCCAAAUAAAAAAAGCAAAAGAGGCGAGCAUGAAACAAGCAGCUCAACCUCCGCCCCCAACAAUUGAAGAAACUCCCAACAGCCUCAGCAACAACAAAUAAUCAACAUCCACAAGCUGCAGAACUUACAAAGCUUUUGGCACCGAAAAGUCUCCACCCAAAACUUUUGCUUAGUCUAACUUGCACAAACUUUGCCUUUUGCAAUUGUAUAAAAAACUCCUAGCCACAAUUGUGCAGUUAGCAACCAAAAACAGAAACAUAUCUGUACCAUGACUGAUACAUCUAACUUUUGCUAUG